GUGACUGCGUACCUUUUGUAUAAUGGGUCAGCGACUUAUAUUCUGUAGCAAGGUUAACCGAAUAGGGGAGCCGGAGGGAAACCGAGUCUUAAUUGGGCGUUAAGUUGCAGGGUAUAGACCCGAAACCCGGUGAUCUAGCCAUGGGCAGGUUGAAGGUUGGGUAACACUAACUGGAGGACCGAACCGACUAAUGUUGAAAAAUUAGCGGAUGACCUGUGGCUGGGGGUGAAAGGCCAAUCAAACCGGGAGAUAGCUGGUUCUCCCCGAAAGCUAUUUAGGUAGCGCCUCGUGAAUUCAUCUCCGGGGGUAGAGCACUGUUUCGGCUAGGGGGCCAUCCCGGCUUACCAACCCGAUGCAAACUGCGAAUACCGGAGAAUGUUAUCACGGGAGACACACGGCGGGUGCUAACGUCCGUCGUGAAGAGGGAAACAACCCAGACCGCCAGCUAAGGUCCCAAAGUCAUGGUUAAGUGGGAAACGAUGUGGGAAGGCCCAGACAGCCAGGAUGUUGGCUUAGAAGCAGCCAUCAUUUAAAGAAAGCGUAAUAGCUCACUGGUCGAGUCGGCCUGCGCGGAAGAUGUAACGGGGCUAAACCAUGCACCGAAGCUGCGGCAGCGACACUGUGUGUUGUUGGGUAGGGGAGCGUUCUGUAAGCCUGCGAAGGUGGCCUGUGAGGGUUGCUGGAGGUAUCAGAAGUGCGAAUGCUGACAUAAGUAACGAUAAAGCGGGUGAAAAGCCCGCUCGCCGGAAGACCAAGGGUUCCUGUCCAACGUUAAUCGGGGCAGGGUGAGUCGACCCCUAAGGCGAGGCCGAAAGGCGUAGUCGAUGGGAAACGGGUUAAUAUUCCCGUACUUGGUGUUACUGCGAAGGGGGGACGGAGAAGGCUAUGUUGGCCGGGCGACGGUUGUCCCGGUUUAAGCGUGUAGGUGUGUGUUCCAGGUAAAUCCGGUUCACUUUAACACUGAGGCGUGACGACGAGGCACUACGGUGCUGAAGCAACAAAUGCCCUGCUUCCAGGAAAAGCCUCUAAGCAUCAGGUAACAUCAAAUCGUACCCCAAACCGACACAGGUGGUCAGGUAGAGAAUACCAAGGCGCUUGAGAGAACUCGGGUGAAGGAACUAGGCAAAAUGGUGCCGUAACUUCGGGAGAAGGCACGCUGACACGUAGGUGAAGUGAUUUACUCAUGGAGCUGAAGUCAGUCGAAGAUACCAGCUGGCUGCAACUGUUUAUUAAAAACACAGCACUGUGCAAACACGAAAGUGGACGUAUACGGUGUGACGCCUGCCCGGUGCCGGAAGGUUAAUUGAUGGGGUCAGCGCAAGCGAAGCUCCUGAUCGAAGCCCCGGUAAACGGCGGCCGUAACUAUAACGGUCCUAAGGUAGCGAAAUUCCUUGUCGGGUAAGUUCCGACCUGCACGAAUGGCGUAAUGAUGGCCAGGCUGUCUCCACCCGAGACUCAGUGAAAUUGAACUCGCUGUGAAGAUGCAGUGUACCCGCGGCAAGACGGAAAGACCCCGUGAACCUUUACUAUAGCUUGACACUGAACAUUGAGCCUUGAUGUGUAGGAUAGGUGGGAGGCUUUGAAGUGUGGACGCCAGUCUGCAUGGAGCCGACCUUGAAAUACCACCCUUUAAUGUUUGAUGUUCUAACGUGGACCCGUUACCCGGGUUGCGGACAGUGUCUGGUGGGUAGUUUGACUGGGGCGGUCUCCUCCUAAAGAGUAACGGAGGAGCACGAAGGUUGGCUAAUCCUGGUCGGACAUCAGGAGGUUAGUGCAAUGGCAUAAGCCAGCUUGACUGCGAGCGUGACGGCGCGAGCAGGUGCGAAAGCAGGUCAUAGUGAUCCGGUGGUUCUGAAUGGAAGGGCCAUCGCUCAACGGAUAAAAGGUACUCCGGGGAUAACAGGCUGAUACCGCCCAAGAGUUCAUAUCGACGGCGGUGUUUGGCACCUCGAUGUCGGCUCAUCACAUCCUGGGGCUGAAGUAGGUCCCAAGGGUAUGGCUGUUCGCCAUUUAAAGUGGUACGCGAGCUGGGUUUAGAACGUCGUGAGACAGUUCGGUCCCUAUCUGCCGUGGGCGCUGGAGAACUGAGGGGGGCUGCUCCUAGUACGAGAGGACCGGAGUGGACGCAUCACUGGUGUUCGGGUUGUCAUGCCAAUGGCACUGCCCGGUAGCUAAAUGCGGAAGAGAUAAGUGCUGAAAGCAUCUAAGCACGAAACUUGCCCCGAGAUGAGUUCUCCCUGAGACUUAAAGUCUCCUGAAGGAACGUUGAAGACGACGACGUUGAUAGGCCGGGUGUGUAAGCGCAGCGAUGCGUUGAGCUAACCGGUACUAAUGAACCGUGAGGCUUAACCUU
rnacentral:rRNA from 1 species